UUCCGGUUGAUCCUGCCGGAGGCCAUUGCUAUCGGAGUUCGACUUAGCCAUGCUAGUCGCACGGGUUCAGACCCGUGGCAAAUAGCUCAGUAACACGUGGUCAAACUGCCCUACAGAUCGGGAUAACCUCGGGAAACUGAGGCUAAUCCCGAAUAGGACUCUCAAGCUGGAGUGCUGAGAGUCUCAAACGCUCCGGCGCUGUAGGAUGUGGCUGCGGCCGAUUAGGUAGACGGUGGGGUAACGGCCCACCGUGCCGAUAAUCGGUACGGGUUGUGAGAGCAAGAGCCCGGAGACGGUAUCUGAGACAAGAUACCGGGCCCUACGGGGCGCAGCAGGCGCGAAACCUUUACACUGCACGACAGUGCGAUAAGGGGACUCCAAGUGCGAGGGCAUAUCGUCCUCGCUUUUUCCUACCGUAAGGUGGUAGGCGAAUAAGGGCUGGGCAAGACCGGUGCCAGCCGCCGCGGUAAUACCGGCAGCCCAAGUGAUGACCGCUAUUAUUGGGCCUAAAGCGUCCGUAGCCGGCCGAACAAGUCCGUCGGGAAAUCCGCACGCCUAACGUGCGGGCGUCCGGCGGAAACUGUUCGGCUUGGGACCGGAAGAUCCAGAGGGUACGUCUGGGGUAGGAGUGAAAUCCCGUAAUCCUGGACGGACCACCGGUGGCGAAGGCGCUCUGGAAGGACGGAUCCGACGGUGAGGGACGAAAGCUAGGGUCACGAACCGGAUUAGAUACCCGGGUAGUCCUAGCCGUAAACGAUGUCUGCUAGGUGUGGCGCUGGCUACGAGCCAGCGCUGUGCCGUAGGGAAGCCGUGAAGCAGACCGCCUGGGAAGUACGUCUGCAAGGAUGAAACUUAAAGGAAUUGGCGGGGGAGCACUACAACCGGAGGAGCCUGCGGUUUAAUUGGAUUCAACGCCGGG
rnacentral:rRNA from 1 species